AUUGAACGCUGGCGGCAGGCCUAACACAUGCCAGUCGAACGGUAACAGGAAGCAGCUUGCUGCUUUGCUGACGAGUGGCGGACGGGUGAGUAAUGUCUGGGAAACUGCCUGAUGGAGGGGGAUAACUACUGGAAACGGUAGCUACUACCGCAUAACGUCGCAAGACCAAAGGGGGGGACCUUCGGGCCUCUUGCCAUCGGAUGUGCCCAGAUGGGAUUAGCUAGUAGGUGGGGUAACGGCUCACCUAGGCGACGAUCCCUAGCUGGUCUGAGAGGAUGACCAGCCACACUGGAACGGAGACACGGUCCAGACUCCUACGGGAGGCAGCAGUGGGGAAUAUUGCACAAUGGGCGCAAGCCUGAUGCAGCCAUGCCGCGUGUAUGAAGAAGGCCUUCGGGUUGUAAAGUACUUUCAGCGGGGAGGAAGGGAGUAAAGUUAAUACCUUUGCUCAUUGACGUUACCCGCAGAAGAAGCACCGGCUAACUCCGUG
rnacentral:rRNA from 1 species